UUCCUUUAUAUUUUCUUUUUGAAUAUUAUGAAAAUAAUAGGGGGUAAGUAGUGUAUAGGGUGCUCCUAGAGCAAUGGUCCCUAUCUAUUCAUUUACUACUAUGUGUAUUCUUUAACUAAUCAUUUUAAUAUGAAAAUACAUGUCGUAAGUAUUGAAUGGAUAAUUUAAAAGCGCGAAGGACAUUCUUGAUUGAGGGAUGUUGAUUGAGGAUUUUUAAGUUUAAAACAUUUAAUCUCAAAUUUACGUUAAGACUUGAAAUCUUUCAUUGAUUAUAUCUAUCUAUGUAAAACUUUUUAAGUUGUUCCUCGAUACAUAUCAAUAAUAUCCUUCAUAUAAUGGUGAAGGCACUUGAAACAUAAAUAAUUUAUUUUGCAUUUAACAGUCGCAAUUCAAUGUUAAUGUAAAGUUUAAAUCUUGAGUUGAAAUAAGAGGUUGAUGAUUUAAACUUUGUUCCUAUGGAUUAAGAUGGGAUUUAAUUACCAAUAUGCCUAAAAAACAAUCUUAAUUAAUUAAUCUGGUUGUGAAUGGAAGAAAAAAAAGGAGAAAAAAAAGGCAAUAGGUGCAGUUCUAUUGUCUCACACGACAAUUAUUUAAUGUCUUUUGGGUGCGUUUGAGAGCUUGCAUUACACUGCAUUUGCAUUGCAUUAAAACACUAUACUUAUGCUAACUCAUGUUUAGCUACAAUUUCUUGUUGCAUUGCGCUGCAUUAUAAAGAUGAAUAUUGCAAUGAAAGGUGUAUAAAAUAAACUUAAAGGGGGUAAGUUUUAGGCUGUAUUACAUUAAAAUAUUAUUUAUGUUUUAAAUAUAAUCAUUUAACUUUUAUUAUUCAAUCAAUUGUAACAAAUAUAAAUGUACUAACAUUGAUUUAUAUUU
rnacentral:lncRNA from 1 species